GAUUGGUCGAAGUGCAGUGGUGUUUACGACUAAUAGAUCACAACCAGUUACAGAUUUCUUUGUUACUUCUCCACUUCUACUGCUUCACUUGACCAGCCUUUU
rnacentral:Y_RNA from 1 species